rnacentral:tRNA from 1 species
GCUCCGUUCGUCUAGCGGCCCAGGACGCUGGCCUCUCACGCCGGUAACACGGGUUCAAAUCCCGUACGGAGUACCA